GUUCAAAAUAUUUUGACUUUGGGCCAGUGCCUGCGACGUGACGUGAUGGAUACCAAACUGCCUUUGUACUCUAUCUUAUACUCCCAUCUAUUCCUUACGCAACAAAAAAAGAAUCAACAAAAUCGUUUGAUUUUUCCCUGAGAUUCUUCUCACGCCGUUUUUUUCGGAUUUUUGUAACACUGUGAGAUAUUUAAUUUUCAUAU